UACGUAGGGGGCUAGCGUUGUUCGGAUUCAUUGGGCGUAAAGGGUGCGUAGGUGGCGCCGUAAGUCGGGUGUGAAAUUUCGGAGCUUAACUCCGAAACUGCAUUCGAUACUGCGGUGCUUGAGGACUGGAGAGGAGACUGGAAUUUACGGUGUAGCGGUGAAAUGCGUAGAUAUCGUAAGGAAGACCAGUGGCGAAGGCGGGUCUCUGGGCCGUAACUGACGCUGAGGAGCGAAAGCAUGGGGAGCGAACAGG
rnacentral:rRNA from 1 species